GACGAACGCUGGCGGCGUGCUUAACACAUGCAAGUCGAACGGCAAGGCCCUGCUUUUGUGGGGUGCUCGAGUGGCGAACGGGUGAGUAACACGUGAGUAACCUGCCCUUGACUUUGGGAUAACUUCAGGAAACUGGGGCUAAUACCGGAUAGGAGCUCCUGCUGCAUGGUGGGGGUUGGAAAGUUUCGGCGGUUGGGGAUGGACUCGCGGCUUAUCAGCUUGUUGGUGGGGUAGUGGCUUACCAAGGCUUUGACGGGUAGCCGGCCUGAGAGGGUGACCGGCCACAUUGGGACUGAGAUACGGCCCAGACUCCUACGGGAGGCAGCAGUGGGAAAUAUUGCACAAUGGGCGGAAGCCUGAUGCAGCAACGCCGCGUGCGGGAUGACGGCCUUCGGGUUGUAAACCGCUUUCGCCUGUGACGAAGCGUGAGUGACGGUAAUGGGUAAAGAAGCACCGGCUAACUACGUG
rnacentral:rRNA from 1 species